rnacentral:rRNA from 1 species
GGGUCAGUAGGUUGGUCGUGCCACCGGUACGUACUGGUCUCACUGAUUCCUCCUUCCUGAAGAACCGUAAUGCCAUUAAUUUGGUGUUGCGUGGAAACAGGUCUGUUACUUUGAAAAAAUUAGAGUGUUUAAAGCAAGCUAACGCUUGAAUACAUUAGCAUGGAAUAAUGAAAUAGGACGAUCGAUCCUAUUUUGUUGGUUUCUAGGAUUGACGUA